UGGUGCUAUGGAUAUACAGAUGAACAAGAUGGGAUUUCUGCCCUCCUGUUGUUCAAAGUCUAAUGAAGAAGGUGUUUUUACAAGAGGCACACAAAAGAGAGACACAGAGAGAAGAUGAGAAGACUGAGGCAGACAUUGGAAUGACGCAACCAGGAGCCAAGGAAUGCCUGGAUCCAUGGGAAGCAGAAGAGGCUUUCUCACCAUGUGAUGCAUUCUGCUAUGUUAUGAUACAGCAAGAAGGGCCUCACAAGAUGUGACCUCUUGUUCUUGGACUUCUCAGCCUCCAGAAUCAUGAGAAAAAAAGGCUCAGCACUGUGAAGACUGAUUGCCACCUCCCCCUUCCCCAGCAAUCUCGUGGAGAUCUGGUCAGAGAAGCUGUUCCAUCUCCCACAAACCUCGUGGCUCAGAAGCAGAGGUGGAGGCUGCAGACCUCAUGUCAGGACUGGGUCGACUAAAAUAAAAACAGUCCCCCUAGUCUGGAUGCCCUGUGUACCUUGCAACUGAGAAAAUGUGAAUGAAACCAUGAAAUACUAUGCAGCCAUAAAAAGGAAUGAAAUUAUGUCUUUUGUAGGAACAUGAAUGGAGCUAGAAGCCAUUAUUCUCAGCAAACUAACACAGGAACAGAAAACCAAACACCACAUGUUCUCACUUAUAAGUGGGAGCUGAAGAAUGAGAACCCAUGGACACAGGGAGGGGAAAAACACACAGGGGCCUAUCAGGGGGUGUGGUGGGGGGAAGGAGAGCAUUGGAAAAAUAGCUAAUGCAUGCUUGGCUUAAGUUCUACGUGAUAGGUUGAUAGGUGCAGCAAACCACCAUGGCACACGUUUACCUAUGUAACAAACUUGCACAUCCUGCACAUGUACCCCAGAACUUAAAAAUAAAAAUGAAAAUAAAAAAUAUUAGAUUUGAAAGGGUUUCAUCAUCUAACAAGAGCUCUUUGAAUCUUACAGAUAAACUCCUUUUCCUGACAUCUGCCAGUGAAAAUUCUGCAUCAGGGUAUAGUCUGUGUGACUAGCUUUGUCUUGAUGAAGGGUUUACUCCCUGCCCCAAAGGGCGAUUGGAAGCAAGGCUGGACCUGUGUGUGUGUGUGCAUGUGUGUAUGUGUGAAGUCCUAAAGGAACCUGGAUAAGUGCAAAUGGAGACUGCACAGGAGUUGAGGCCUCGUGCUGGGACACUCACCUUUGUUGGGUGUGCACUGAAGCUGCAACACCUUUGGGAUUUGGGGAUUGCAGAUGAGGUCACACUUUAUUUCCUCCUUUAACAGACUUCUAGUGACAUUCAGGGAAGGGGCAGAUGUCCCUCCUCCAGCUGGCAGGGCAACAGACAUUAGGAAGGAGGACCACAGUGGGAAGACAAUAAAUACCACGAUGACAGGGUUUUCU
rnacentral:lncRNA from 10 species